UGAAAAUCAAUUGUUUUGUCAUUGUUUUG
rnacentral:piRNA from 1 species